CCUACGGGCCGCAGCAGUGGGGAAUAUUGGACAAUGAGCGAAAGCCUGAUCCAGCAAUGCCGCGUGUGUGAAGAAGGUCUUCGGAUUGUAAAGCACUUUCGACGGGGACGAUGAUGACGGUACCCGUAGAAGAAGCCCCGGCUAAUUUCGUGCCAGCAGCCGCGGUAAUGCGAAGGGGGCUAGCGUUGCUCGGAAUGACUGGGCGUAAAGGGCGCGUAGGCGGUUUAUGCAGUCAGAUGUGAAAUCCCCGGGCUUAACCUGGGAACUGCAUUUGAGACGCAUAGACUAGAGGUCGAGAGAGGGUCGUGGAAUUCCCAGUGUAGAGGUGAAAUUCGUAGAUAUUGGGAAGAACACCGGUGGCGAAGGCGGCAACCUGGCUCGAUACUGACGCUGAGGCGCGAAAGCGUGGGGAGCAAACAGGAUUAGAUACCCCCGUAGUC
rnacentral:rRNA from 1 species